rnacentral:lncRNA from 1 species
GAUCUUAUAUAAAUAUCUAAAAUUUUUUCAGCAAAUAAUCGAUAUAGGACUAAAUACAUACCUACACGUGUCCUCAUACAAUAGAUACAUGAUUGGAUAUUAGCAAUAUAGAUGUAAGUAUAUAUAUCAGAUAGUUAAAUUUUUAUGAACUGAUAAAACAUCAUUGUACAGAAAGUAAGCUAAGUUAAAGCAUGUUGAGUUUGCCAUUUAUUUUCCUU